rnacentral:piRNA from 1 species
GAACAGAAAUGUUUUUCUGUGUGCUGG